ACGAACGCUGGCGGCGUGCUUAACACAUGCAAGUCGAGCGGAAAGGCCCUUCGGGGUACUCGAGCGGCGAACGGGUGAGUAACACGUGAGUAACCUGCCCCCGACUUUGGGAUAACCCUCGGAAACGGGGGCUAAUACCGGAUACGACACAGCUUCGCAUGGGGUCUGUGUGGAAAGUUUUUCGGUUUGGGAUGGGCUCGCGGCCUCUCAGCUUGUUGGUGGGGUGAUGGCCUACCAAGGCGACGACGGGUAGCCGGCCUGGGAGGGCGACCGGCCACACUGGGACUGAGACACGGCCCAGACGCCUACGGGAGGCAGCAGUGGGGAAUAUUGCACAAUGGGCGGAAGCCUGAUGCAGCGACGCCGCGUGAGGGAUGACGGCCUUCGGGUUGUAAACCUCUUUCAGCAGGGACGAAGCGUAAGUGACGGUACCUGCAGAAGAAGCGCCGGCCAACUACGUG
rnacentral:rRNA from 1 species